rnacentral:tRNA from 1 species
CAAGGAAUAGUUUAAGUAGAAUCCCAGCUUUGGGGGUUGGGGGUAGGAGUUAAAUUCUUCUUUCCUUGA